rnacentral:tRNA from 1 species
AUGUAUUCACGCAUUCGCACUAACUCGUUUUCAUUUCAGAAUGUAAGUUAUUGCUAAAUAACGGAAUUUCUGGAUUGCGCGCU